AACAACGUCGAACGUGUCUUAUCCGCGUGAGAGGAUAAAGACAAGAGGUUACACAUUUGAAUUCAAAUCAAAUUUGAAUUCAAACGAAAACCAACUUAUCCCUAUCCUUUUGGGUGUGAGAAGAGAAGGGGCGUGGAUCUUUGUGCAUGGAAAAUGUUUCAUGAGAAACCUUUUCUCGUGUAAGUAAUGUGGCGCACAAAAUGGAUAAGGAUGAAAGGGCAAGUGAUAAGUUAUCCAUUCAAAUUCAAACAUGCUUUGAAUUUGAAUGGCUAACUAAUUAUUUUAUCCAUCCAUAUGGUGCACAAAUGAGGGCGUGGGGAAGGGUUUUGCAUGAGAAAAAUUUCACAAGAAGUUUCUUCUCGUGAAUUCAAAUGGGUGCAAGGA
rnacentral:lncRNA from 1 species